ACAGUCUGCAAAAGGAGCUUGGAAUAGGAAAUGCUAAGACUACCGUACAAACCAACUUAGCCAUUGAUAAUCACGUUUGGUUUCAGGUUCAUACAGUGUCCUUACGAAGUAGUGGAUUGAAAGGAAAAGCACUGAGUAUUGGCUCAUGAACAAAUGAAAAAGUCAAUAUAGGCAAAGGAAUGGAAUGGUUAUUGAAAUGGGGACGAGCGCUUGUUAUGGAAUUUAUCUUUGGGAGGAGAUUGCUGUUUACCUGAAACUCUACAGAGCAUCAGCAUCACAAACAAGAUUUAUGCUUAAGGCAAGCUUAAUGCUAUGCCUUAUUGAAGAAAACCAUCAAAUACCAGUUUAUUGUUAGUAGAAGCAGACAAAUCACCCAUCGACCGGCCACUUGCUAAUCCUGGCCUUGGGUAUUUCACCAGGGGACAACGAUCUCAAGCUAAUUACUUCUCCGCCCCAACAUCUUCUAGAUGGAGCUGUGCAGAUGUGGAUAUUUCAUUAGCUACUUUGUACAAAAAUUCCUUAAAAGCUUGAAUUUUCGGACGGUUGGGUCAGUCUGCGUUCUGUAGUUGACCGGGUGGGAUGCACAUCAAGCCCAUCUGGAAAACUGAAACGGAACGUGAAAGUUUGGAAGAAUGGAUAGUUCUUUUACAUUUUAUUCGCUCAGUUGAAUAAAUGAAGCCGACAGUGAUGGCUUCAUUUGUUCAACUACAAACUGAAAUGUAAAAGAACUGAAACCUUUUCCGUAGUCUUUAUUAUUAAAGAUACUUGAAUGAAUGUUCAAGUGAAAGACAGUAA